rnacentral:tRNA from 1 species
AAAUAAAUAGUAUAUUAAAUAUAUUAGAUUUAGAUUCUAAAGAAAGUUUUUAUGUU